UACGUAGGUGCGAAGCGUUGUCCGGAAUUAUUGGGCGUAAAGAGCUCGUAGGCGGUCUGUCGCGUCGGCUGUGAAAUCCCGAGGCUCAACCUCGGGUCUGCAGUCGAUACGGGCAAACUAGAGUAUUGCAGGGGAGACUGGAAUUCCUGGUGUAGCGGUGAAAUGCGCAGAUAUCAGGAGGAACACCGGUGGCGAAGGCGGGUCUCUGGGCAAUAACUGACGCUGAGGAGCGAAAGCGUGGGGAGCGAACAGG
rnacentral:rRNA from 1 species